rfam:Schistosoma mansoni strain Puerto Rico chromosome 1, complete genome
AUUCAGCUGACGAGUCCCAAAUAGGACUAAACGCGCUUCCUGGGU